rnacentral:snRNA from 1 species
GGAUGUGAAGGUGAUCAAGCCACAACAUCUGUCACCCCAUUGACUCAGCUGAUCUGGCUGGCCAGAUGGGUGUCCCCUUCCUCCCUCAGUGCUCCAUGUGUGUUCCUCCUGAAGCUUUGUGCUGGGUCAAGGAGGAUAACCACCCCCAAUAGAAGAGGACCUUUUCCUCCACCAAGGUUAAGUAUAAGUAGUAGCUGUGCAACCCUGCUAGAACCUCCAAACAAGCUCCUGGAAGCUAGCAUUACCCUGAUUCCAAACCAGACAAG